rnacentral:rRNA from 1 species
AGUGAACGCUGGCGGUAGGCCUAACACAUGCAAGUCGAACGGCAGCACAGUAAGAGCUUGCUCUUACGGGUGGCGAGUGGCGGACGGGUGAGGAAUACAUCGGAAUCUACUUUUUCGUGGGGGAUAACGUAGGGAAACUUACGCUAAUACCGCAUACGACCUACGGGUGAAAGCAGGGGAUCUUCGGACCUUGCGCGAUUGAAUGAGCCGAUGUCGGAUUAGCUAGUUGGCGGGGUAAAGGCCCACCAAGGCGACGAUCCGUAGCUGGUCUGAGAGGAUGAUCAGCCACACUGGAACUGAGACACGGCCCAGACUCCUACGGGAGGCAGCAGUGGGGAAUAUUGGACAAUGGGCGCAAGCCUGAUCCAGCUAUACCGCGUGGGUGAAGAAGGCCUUCGAGUUGUAAAGCCCUUUUGUUGGGAAAGAAAAGCAGCAGGUUAAUACCCCGCUGUUCUGACGGUACCCAAAGAAUAAGCACCGGCUAACUUCGUG